CGCCGCUAAACUAGACCUUAAGACUUUGAAUAUUGCUUUACUGAAUGCGGUUAUGUUACUGAAGCCAGCAAUCUUAAACAGUUGUUUAACAAGCUUUGUUGUAGUUAGCCUACCACUUGUCAUCACACUUGUAGUGCUAACUCUUUAAUACAUUUACAUUUUUACAUUUUAGUCAUUUAGCAGGUUGAUGAAAUGCUUUUGCUCAGCGAGUUAAUUCGGGAAGCCAACGAUCAGCAACAACAACGUGUUGCUCCUGGUUUCACCGUACCUCAAAUGGGAGGACAGACUGGAGGAAGGCCGGUUUACCAAAUCGCCCAAGAGCAGUUGCAGAUGUUGUUGUCCUAACUUCUCUGCUAAACAGAUUGCGGAGAUCUUGGGUGUCUCAAGAAGAACAGUGAACCAACGGUUAAGACAGUACAUACAAUUUCUCUUUUAGAGGUCGCUACACAGACCAGAUGAUGCACUUGAUCUGAAGGUGCUGCUAUUCGGAGUAUGUCCCACAGGCUUCGGAGGAGAACAUAUCGAGUGGCAGGGUCAAAUUCGC